CUUCUCUUAUUAACUUGCUUUGGUUUUACAUUUUUUAUUCCAGCUUCAUCUCAUAACAGUUCUUUGUUUUGUGGUACCACUUUAGAUAACUCCUUGGUCCUGGAGGGACUCUAUUGAGUGAGUAGAAGUGAUUACAGAGACAAUAGGGUAGCCUGUUCUGGGAAAACAACGUGGCAAUAUUGUGGAUACAUCGAGUGGAGGUGGAAAUUCUGGUGUGUGAGAAAAAUUGACUGAGAGGAAGGCUGGAGAAUCAACAAAAGUUGCAGUGGGAGUGCAGCAGUAGCAGAAUUGCCGGAAAACAAUUGGGUAUGUAUCACUUUAGAAAGCUCCUUGAUCCUGGAGGGACUCUGUUGAGUUAUUAGAAGUGAUUACAGAGACAGCAGGAGUAGCCUGUUCUGGGAAAACAACAUGCAUUAUUGCCUUACUUCUGGUAGAACAUCUGCCUGAUUCAUCUUGGUUUUCACUUGGGAUAAAUAUCUGAGCUUUUUGAGCCUGUUUAUUUGUGUGCCUCCAGUAAAAUAUCAGUUUCCUUGCCGCAACAGCCAUCUAUUGGGGCACCAGAUGUUGUGUAGGUUGUGUUUAGAGCUUGCAGCUUUAACCUUUGGCAAAUUUCAGUCUGUAGACAUUAAUGGAGCUAUGUUAUUAUUUGGAAAAGUUUAUUUGACAGGAUAUCCUUUAACUUGA